rnacentral:rRNA from 1 species
AAACCAGCACCUCAAGUGGUCAGGAUGAUUAUUGGGCCUAAAGCAUCCGUAGCCGGCUCUGUAAGUUUUCGGUUAAAUCUAUAUGCUCAACAUAAAGGCUGCCGGGAAUACUGCAGGGCUAGGGAGUGGGAGAGGUAGACGGUACUCGAUAGGAAGGGGUAAAAUCCUUUGAUCUAUUGAUGACCACCUGUGGCGAAGGCGGUCUACUAGAACACGUCCGACGGUGAGGGAUGAAAGCUGGGGGAGCAAACCGGAUUAGAAACCCGAGUAGUCC